rnacentral:rRNA from 1 species
GAUGAACGCUGGCGGCGUGCCUAAUACAUGCAAGUCGAGCGAACGGACGAGAAGCUUGCUUCUCUGAUGUUAGCGGCGGACGGGUGAGUAACACGUGGAUAACCUACCUAUAAGACUGGGAUAACUUCGGGAAACCGGAUCUAGUACCGGAUGAUAUUUUGAACCGCAUGGUUCAAAAGUGAAAGACGGUCUUGCUGUCACUUAUAGAUGGAUCCGCGCUGCAUUAGCUAGUUGGUAAGGUAACGGCUUACCAAGGCAACGAUGCAUAGCCGACCUGAGAGGGUGAUCGGCCACACUUGAACUGAGACACGGUCCAGACUCCUACGGGAGGCAGCAGUAGGGAAUCUUCCGCAAUGGGCGAAAGCCUGACGGAGCAACGCCGCGUGAGUGAUGAAGGUCUUCGGAUCGUAAAACUCUGUUAUUAGGGAAGAACAUAUGUGUAAGUAACUGUGCACAUCUUGACGGUACCUAAUCAGAAAGCCACGGCUAACUACGUG